UGUACAAGGAUUAAUAAAUAACAAAUAAGAAAUCAGAGAAUUACUGAUAAAAAAAUAUAGAUAUAGCCUGUCUCCAAGAGUUAAAAAUGGUUGGAUAAAAAAACAUCUGACAAAUCCAACACUACCAAGUGAUCCCGAUAACAGGGAGGAUGCCUACGGAGGCGUGGUAAUACUAAUCCGUAACGGUAUCAACGCAAAAAAAACCCACUAAUACCUUCUAACCCCUAUUAUACAAGCAACAGCUGUCCACACUGUACAAACGGGAUGGGUAUUCGCAUCUGUGUAUGUCAAACCAAAAACACCAAGUUCAGAGUUCGUAACGUUAUUAACCCUUAUGCUCACAACUCUCAACAAAUAUCCAAAAGGUAUAAUACCGCGAGAUUUCGACUCACACCACCCUACUAGCAAUGAGAAUGUAAAAGUGUGCGUCUUGCAGGCGAGGGGCAUGUAGAAGCAGGGGGAGACGGUUGGAAAUACGCGGAAUUACGCGGCGGCGAGAGCGUGUUUUGCUUUCUACACAGUUUUUGCACUCACACAAUCACACAUGUGUGAAUGUGUGCGUUCACUUUCAGCCAGCGCGCUCAGUUUGGUUUUCUCGCAGCGGCUUGCUGGUGUCGGUGUCUCGCUCGCACUAGUGCAGCGAGUGUUCCUCGUGCGUUCCCUUUCUUGCUACCACACAAAAUCGUCAGUACAGUUCAAGCCUUCGCAGUGUGAGGCCGCGCGCGUUUUAGCCUAAGUCCCGGGCGCUCGAUUAUUCAACAUACACAACAUACAGGCAGUAAGGCGGGUGCUUGAAGUGACGAUUUUUUUUUAAUAUUUAUAAUAAAAAAUAUGUGUGGUUUUGUGGCAAGAUUGUGGUUAGCGAUGUGUGGAACUGUGCCUUAAGUUUCAAUAAAGUGUUAAAAUAUCAAACGAGUUUGAUGUAAUUAAAUUUA